rnacentral:rRNA from 1 species
CAAUCAAACCGGGAGAUAGCUGGUUCUCCCCGAAAGCUAUUUAGGUAGCGCCUCGUGAAUUCAUCUCCGGGGGUAGAGCACUGUUUCGGCUAGGGGGCCAUCCCGGCUUACCAACCCGAUGCAAACUGCGAAUACCGGAGAAUGUUAUCACGGGAGACACACGGCGGGUGCUAACGUCCGUCGUGAAGAGGGAAACAACCCAGACCGCCAGCUAAGGUCCCAAAGUCAUGGUUAAGUGGGAAACGAUGUGGGAAGGCCCAGACAGCCAGGAUGUUGGCUUAGAAGCAGCCAUCAUUUAAAGAAAGCGUAAUAGCUCACUGGUCGAGUCGGCCUGCGCGGAAGAUGUAACGGGGCUAAACCAUGCACCGAAGCUGCGGCAGCGAACGUAUCACCCAAGACAACUUUACGGAGUUGACGAUUGACGGAGCGAAGCGACGUCAAAGCGUUCAUUAAAGUCGAGUUGGCUUAGGGAUACGUUCGUUGGGUAGGGGAGCGUUCUGUAAGCCUGUGAAGGUGUGUCGUGAGGCAUGCUGGAGGUAUCAGAAGUGCGAAUGCUGACAUAAGUAACGAUAAAGCGGGUGAAAAGCCCGCUCGCCGGAAGACCAAGGGUUCCUGUCCAACGUUAAUCGGGGCAGGGUGAGUCGACCCCUAAGGCGAGGCCGAAAGGCGUAGUCGAUGGGAAACGGGUUAAUAUUCCCGUACUUGGUGUUACUGCGAAGGGGGGACGGAGAAGGCUAUGUUGGCCGGGCGACGGUUGUCCCGGUUUAAGCGUGUAGGUGUGUGUUCCAGGUAAAUCCGGUUCACUUUAACACUGAGGCGUGACGACGAGGCACUACGGUGCUGAAGCAACAAAUGCCCUGCUUCCAGGAAAAGCCUCUAAGCAUCAGGUAACACGAAAUCGUACCCCAAACCGACACAGGUGGUCAGGUAGAGAAUACCAAGGCGCUUGAGAGAACUC